CUCAAUCCCAGGACCCUGGGAUCAUGACCUGAGCCAAAGGCAGGCACUUGACCACUGAGCCACCCAGGUGCUCCAGGCUUUAUUUUUUAAAGCAAUUUUAGGUUCAUUGGAAAACAGGAAGGUACAGAGAAUUCCUUCCCAUAUACCCUCUACCCCACAUAUGCAUAGCUUCCCUAUUAUCAGCCUCCUCCACCAGAGAUACAUUUGUUACAGCUGAUAAACCUACAUUGACAUAUUACUAUCAUCCAAAAUUAGGGUUCAUUCCUGGUGUUGGACACAUUGUGGGUUUGGACAUGUGUAUAAUGACACUCAUCUACCAUUAUAGUGUCAUACAGAGUAGUUUCACUGCCCUAAACAUCCAUUACACUCUGACUUUUAUCCCUUCCCCACCUCUUAACCCUUGGAAACCACUGAUACUUUUACUGACUCCAUGGCUUUGUCUUUUCCAGAAUGUCAUGUAGUUGGAAUCAUGCAGUACACAGAUCUUCUCAGGUUGGCUGCUUUCAUUUAGUGAUAUGCACUUAAGUUUCCUCCAUGUCUUUUCAUGGAGUAAUAGCUCAUACCUUUUUAUUGCUGAACAAUUUUCCAUUGUCCAGAUGCACCACAGUUUACUUAUCCAGUUGCCAGCUGAAGGACUCCUUGGUCACUUCCUGGUUUUGACAAUUAUGAAUAAAACUUCCAUAAGCAUCCAUGUGUGCUUUUGGGUGAACAUGUUUUCAGCUCCUUUGAAUAAAUACCAAGAAGAUGCUGGCUUAAUGAAGAUGUGUGGCUCUUGGCUCCUGCAUCUGUGAACCUGAGAGCUACAAAUAUGUAUGUAUAUUUCUUUAUAACAACGGGGGAAUUCAAAUUUGUUCAAAUAAAAAGUCUACUUUAGCUGCAUUAAUUUGGGUAGUAUUAGCUUCUGGAUUGGAUUAACACCAAUUCUCAGUGGAUUAACACAAUAAAAAUAUAUUUCUCAAUUCCCUGUCUAAACUGCUUAGGAAGCUUUCCAUGAGGCAAUUCAGGAUCCAGGCUCCUUCUCUCUUGUGGCUCUGCCCUCCACUAGCCAUUUGGAGAACAAACUGGUGUCGUAUCUUGAAGUUGAAGUUGCGGGUAUCCUGUGACCCAGCAAUUCCAUCAGUAUUGUUGGUAAGGAUUGACUUCCCAGUCAGGAACCCCAGACAACUAAAGAGUACAAACAACUGCAUAUAUAAAUGACUCCCAGUGGUUUCAUUUUUCUACAAGAUGACAUCUGAAGAGCAGGAAAAUAUUGACCAUUCCUACGAGAGAGAAAUCAAUUCUUUUGGAAUGCCACUGUUAGUAGCUGAAAAUGCAAUUGGCAGCAAGUUUCUAAAUGGUGGAGAUCAUCAUCCUCAAAGCAAGCCUAUCUGAGAUUCUGAAUUUGAACAGGAAAAGAUAUCUGUGCCAACAAGAAUCAAGGAAGUAUUAGCUCUUACAGGUGCAUGGGCAGAUACAUGAGAAGGGAUCAUAUACCUUACAGUCACAUUUUAACCAGUUAAAAUAAUUUUAAAAAGAUUUUUAAGUAAUCUCUGUAGCCAAUAUGAGGCUUGAACUCACAACUCUGAGAUCAAGAGUCACAUGCUCCAUUGACUAAGCCAGCCGGGCACCUCCUAGUUUUUAAAAAAUUAAUACAAUUAUUGAUUCAGGGGCAAGAAAAAGUAUAGAAUUUAUCUAUUGUAGGGUAAGUGGGGAUUUAUAGAUAAUACUUUGCUUUGCAGACUGAGUAUUCAAGUAAUAUGACAGGAGCAUGGCAUGAUCACGAGAGUGGCAUGUAUAGAAAAUUUUCUUUUAUGUGGGGACUUACCUGAGGACCUAUUCUCUUCAGAAGAUGCUGGAAAUAUAAGAUAUAGAUAAAAUAAAAUAGGUCUCAGAACAAAAAACAUGUCACUAACUUCAUGGGCUAAAGCUCACGCCUUUUACUCACAGUGAUUUCCUUGCCAUAUCACUCAGAGCUUACUUAAUUUAAUUUUGUGUUUCUGUCUAGUAAGCUUGGUUUGCUGAUUCUUCCUUUAAGUAGCAGUGAGAAGGAACAAAUUAGAAGUGCAGUGUGUGUGUGUGUGUGUGUGUGUGUGUGUGUGGUGGGAUGUGGAUGUUCUAUUAGAAUAAAGGUUCUUAACUAGGGGUGAUUUUGCCUCUCCCCUCACUAGGGGACAUUUGGUGAUGUCUGGGGACAUUUUUUAUGGCCAUGACUAGGGAGGAAGGGAGAGCUGUUAUUGGCAUCCAGAAGAUGAUAAUAUCAUAAGACACACAGGACAACCCCCUCCACCAACAUAAACAAGAAUUAUCUACCCCAAAUGUCAAUAGCGCUGCCCUUGAAGCAGUCAUAAGGACAUCCGCAAGAUGUGUGUGGCUACUUACAACCUAACAGUGAAGAAGGAGGUGGAAAAAUGAUAAAAACGCGCAUAGGAGCUUUAAAAAAUUAAAUUUACAAAAGCAUGUCAAUGUGGCAUGGUUUAGCACAGAGGCAAAGAACUCUAUGCAUGUCAAUAACCCCUGAGGCUGUCUCUGUAUCAGAGCACUGAUAAUGGCUGUUCAAAUAAUGUUAAUAUAUUCAGUUUAAUAAAAUAGAUGGGUGAUCUUUAUUACCUGCAGCUAGGCGGGAAUGUAGAUGGCAGACACUGAUAUCACUGAUAAACAUAUACCUCUGACCUCAGCCUGGAGCUAAGGGAUUGCUACCUAGUGCACUGGAGGCAGAAUUUAUGUGGGUAAGGACAUACAUUUGGGUGCUCCAGCCCUGUCACGGAGUGACCUUGGACACAAGAUUUUAAGUCUUCUGAGCCUCUAGAGGGAAAUAAAAUAUCUACUAUGAUGAGUGAUGUGGAGAUUAAAUAAAAAUACUUGUACCUGAUGCAUAGAACGCAUUUAAUAAACGAUAGUUCUUAUUACUGUAGCUAUGAUUAAGAGAGUAUUCAUUAUAACAAAUAAUAUUUAUAUUUAUGACAUUUUUAUAAUAACAAAUGAGAAAUAAAAGGUAGUUUUUAUGAAUAAUCUGAUGUCCUGAGGUCUAGACAUUUGGGCGUCUUGGUGUUUGGCAAACAAAAGGCUGUUGGCACAAAGUCAGUGACCUGUCUUCUGGUGGCCAAGCUCACUCACCCAUUCACAGACAGCUGUGAUGGGUUCCUGGUACACAGUUGGGGGGGGGUGCGGGGGUCCCUCCAAUCCAGACAGGCCUCCAGGAUUGGAAGAGGAGAAAGAAGGAAAGUAACAGAAAAUUCAUCUGACCUUGAACCACUGAUGGCAUGAUGCUCUUGCUGAAUUUCCUUAAGCCAACAGCCAGCUCAGUGCUGCUGAACAACCACUAGUCUUGAUUCUUCUCACUGCUUCAGGCUAGGAAAGCAAAGGAACUUCGCAGGAUUGAGUAUUGUACUAACUGAUUUCUAUCAGGAAAAACUCGGUAUCCACGAAGCAGUCAGGCAUCCAGGACAUGUUUAAGGACAUCAGUGACUGUCCCUCCUUUAACUCCCAGACUUCUAACUCCUUCAUCUUCAGACAGAACUGGGUCAGCAUCCUGGCGUUGUCGCUUACUAACUUACCUUGGCUAGACAACUUGUGACUGAUAGAGAAGCAAGUUACUUUAUCUCUCUAAGCCUCGGUUUCUUUACCAGUAGAAUGGGAAAGUAAUAACUCUUCUAUUUUUCAGUUUUGUUUAAUACAUCUCAACCAUAUUAUUAAAUAAAGAUUAAAUGCACAUA